CACCGCGGUUAUACGAGAGACCCAAGUUGUUAGACACCGGCGUAAAGAGUGGUUAGGGAGAUUUAUCCAACUAGAGCCGAACACCUUCAAAGCUGUUAUACGCACCCGAAGGUAAGAAGCCCGACUACGAAAGUGGCUUUAUGUUAACUGAACCCACGAAAGCUAGGACA
rnacentral:rRNA from 1 species